AACGAACGCUGGCGGCAGGCCUAACACAUGCAAGUCGAGCGCCCCGCAAGGGGAGCGGCGGACGGGUGAGUAACGCGUGGGAACGUACCCUUUGCUACGGAAUAGCCUCGGGAAACUGGGAGUAAUACCGUAUGUGCCCUUCGGGGGAAAGAUUUAUCGGCAAAGGAUCGGCCCGCGUUGGAUUAGGUAGUUGGUGGGGUAAUGGCCUACCAAGCCGACGAUCCAUAGCUGGUUUGAGAGGAUGAUCAGCCACACUGGGACUGAGACACGGCCCAGACUCCUACGGGAGGCAGCAGUGGGGAAUCUUAGACAAUGGGCGCAAGCCUGAUCUAGCCAUGCCGCGUGAGCGAUGAAGGCCUUAGGGUUGUAAAGCUCUUUCAGUGGGGAAGAUAAUGACUGUACCCACAGAAGAAGCCCGGCUAACUCCGUGCCAGCAGCCGCGGUAAAGUCUGUACU
rnacentral:rRNA from 1 species